AAAUGGUGUGAGUCCUUAUUAGAAGUCUAGUCUUAAUGAUUAAUGAAGCUCAGAGGGAUUGGAGAACUCAAUUUCCUUUAAAUAGGAUAAGAGACUGUUGGUGUAAAUGAAUUAUGUUUAUAAAUUUAGAUUUAUUUGAUUAGGGAAAAAUAAAAUUUGAAUGAUAUAGGAAGGGAAACUAUAGAUUAAUAGGCUAAAAUAAACUAUUAUUUAAUUUACUUAUCGUUUCGCCUAGCAGCACAACACUGAUCGAGCAUUCUUGCGUCAAAAAUGAAUGAGAUUAAGCGAUCUAUUGAAACUGUAGGAUGUAAAAAUACAAUUAGUAGG
rnacentral:misc_RNA from 1 species